rnacentral:lncRNA from 1 species
GGUUCUGUGCCUGAAUUACAAAGACAGCUCUUCAGCCAGCUCAUUCCAGAUGAAUGAAUGAUUACGUGAAGUGUGGUCUACACUUCCUCUGGGGGUCCUUUCUUUCGGCAGCAAAUUCUCCCUCACCUUCCUUGAGCUCAGUUCUUGGGCCUCCUGGCUCGGUGGACUGGGAACAGUCCAUACAUGCGUGGGGACUCGGGAGAGAAAAUAAAGGCUUUGUGUCCCGGCCGUGAACACAGCCAGAUGGCAGCACCCCCAUCUUUCCCUCAAAGGUGGGCUUCCUGCCGCUGGCCUCUUGCAGCGGGGCCCACGCAUGUGCUGGAGAAAACCUUUUUCAUCUCAUCUCUGGGGUUGGCAUCUCUGACAUACGUUAUUUUAGCCAAGGGCUAUUUCUCUGUGAUUUUACAUUUUGG